rnacentral:rRNA from 1 species
GAUGAACGCUGGCGGCGUGCCUAAUACAUGCAAGUCGAGCGAACAGACGAGGCGCUUGCUCCUCUGACGUUAGCGGCGGACGUGUGAGUAACACGUGGAUACCCUCCCUAUAAUACUGGGAUAACUUCGGGAAACCGGCUCUAAUACCGUAUAAUAUAUUGAACCGCAUGGUUCAAUAGUGAAUGACGGUUUUGCUGUCUCUUCUCGCUGGAUCCGCGCCGCAUUAGCUAGUUGGUAAGGUAACGGCUUACCAAGGCAACGAUGCGUAGCCGACCUGAGAGGGUGAUAGGCCACACGGGAACGGAGACAGGGUCAAGAGUCCUGAGGGAGGGAGCAGAAGGGAAAGGUCGGAAAUGGGCGAAAGCCUGACGGAACAAGGCCGCGUGAGAGAUGAAGAUCUUCGGAUCGUAAAAAUCUGUUAUUAGGGAAGAACAGAUGUGUAAGUAACUAUGCACGUAGUGACGGUACCUAAUAAGAAAGCCACGGCUAACUACGUG